rnacentral:rRNA from 1 species
GACGGAGGGGGCUAGCGUUGUUCGGAAUGACUGGGCGUAAAGGGCGCGUAGGCGGUCAAUCAAGUCAGGCGUGAAAGCCUCGGGCUUAACCCGAGAACUGCGCUUGAUACUGGUUAACUAGAGGACGAGAGAGGAAAGUGGAAUUCCGAGUGUAGAGGUGAAAUUCGUAGAUAUUCGGAGGAACAUCAGAGGCGAAGGCGGCUUUCUGGCUCGUAACUGACGCUGAGGCGCGAAAGCGUGGGGAGCAAACAGG